GGCCAUUCCGAUUAAUCGGUCGACCUCUAAUCUGUAUGAUGUGUGAACUGGGUACUGGGUACUGGGUACUGGGUUUUCCCAUGCUGUGUCAGGGUUUGAGACUGGGUCCAGAAAGACACUUGAUUUGAUGUUUCCAGACAGUUCUGAUGUAACUACUCUAAUUCCCAUCAAGACAACCAGCAGUACUCCACAACAGUAUAAGACUGGUCAUGUAAAAACAGCCCCAAACAUAUUGAUAGGAAGUACUGCUUGUCUAGUGCUCUAGAGAAUGGAGUAGAGAAAGAUGUAACAGAUUGCAGUAAAGAACUCUAUAGGCAACACAGAGUCAGUGGAUCCAUACUGUACUGUGAUGUCACCAUUAUUCACCAAUGACAAGUGGUCACUCUGUGUUCCACUACUGUAGGACGACCCACACUCCAAAGUGACAUUUGUAUGCAAGAAAUUCUUCUGUGUUGUCUUAGGAAUUCAGCAUUCUCUGUGUUGAUCUCAGCAACCCCCAUUGUCUGACCUCUGAGGAGCAGAAGUUACAUCCUGUAGGUCUGAUAUCUGAUUGGAGGUUAACUUUACAUUAAUGCCACUGUUCUUUCUCUUUUUUGUUAUUAUAUUACUUUUUAUCAUGUGGAGUCAGAUUUUAAUAGGCUAAUUUCAUGGUCUAAUUACAAGUUGCGUGUGAUGUAUAUAUAAUAUACUGUAUAUACACUAUUCAAAUAUGUCUGUCCACCACACUACUAUCCAGGAAGUACAGCCUAUACUGCAAGACCAGCCUUGUCAACCCCAUCUUCUGCUGGUAUUGUAUUUAAUACUGUUUCCCUUCUCAGUUCUAUGGUAGACAGUAUGAGUGGUACAGCAUGGGGCCAAAGUCAGAUGUACUACCUUGGUCAACACAAAGCAUGCAUUUGUACAUGAAACUAAACUUUCAUGUUCCAUUUUAUAACUUGGCUGUGGUGCCGGUCACACUUCUCUCUUCCUGUAUGAAUUUCUGCUUCUCUGUGAUGCCAAAUACCAACACUCCAGGUUUAAGGUGUUAUAUAACCUUUCAAUUAUUUAGUGGAUGGUGUGAACAAUCAUAAUCCAUUAAACACAAAUUAAAAUGCUGAAUUAGAUCUUUGGUGUUCAGACAGAGACGAAGUUGUAGAGAGGUUUGGCUGAUGGAUAUUGGUCUUCAAACUUUACUUUCAUUUAAAUCAAUCUAAAUGAUCGACUGUGUUUAUCACUGUCUGUCUCAUUGUCCAGGUACCAGUAAUGUUAAGUUGCCCAUCAGUCACAUCAUGCUCUUUGUGACACUGAACAUCAUGGCUGCCAUAGUCACUAUUCACACAAUGAGGAACCGCCCACCCAAGGCUCUGCCCCCACAAGCAGAAGAAGCCUCUGGUAUUGAGGUCCAUGUCCUGGAGGAAUGACCCCUUGUUCCUCUUCUCCCUGUGCUGGACUAAGACUUUCAAACUGUCUGUAGCUUUAUUGAUUCAGUAACAGAGGACAGUAUAAAUGUUUUUAAAGUUGAUGUUUAUAUAUUUUAGUGCAUAAUGUGGAAGAUGUAUUAAUUCGUAGUUGUGUUCUUAUAUUAUAGUAUCUUUUUAUACACCUUUAUGUAGUAGGGAUUCAAAUAUCAGCAAACCUUGGCUGAUGUGUUUAAUUUUUUCUGUCCAUUGUUAAUGACGUCAGCAUGGAGAAAUUCCUWGGUAUUGUUUAAUUAAUKAUUUGUGUCCUAAYCAGACUUAAAAUGAGCACAAUGCUUCUUCUAAAAUGUAUAUUAAUUACUAAAACUGUUUUUAAAUAAACUAAUAAAAUACAGUAUUUCAAACWGC